UACGUAGGUGACCAGCGUUGUCCGGAUUUACUGGGCGUAAAGAGCGCGCAGGCGGUCGUUCAAGUCGAGUGUGAAAGCCCCCGGCUCAACUGGGGAGGGUCACUCGAUACUGAUCGACUUGAAGGCAGGAGAGGGAAGCGGAAUUCCCGGUGUAGUGGUGAAAUGCGUAGAUAUCUGGAGGAAUACCGGUGGCGAAGGCGGCAUCCUGGACCGACAUUUGACGCUGAUGAGCGAAAGCUAGGGGAGCAAACGGGGAUUAAGAA
rnacentral:rRNA from 1 species